AAAAAUUCUGCACAAUGUCUAGUAUAAAGUGAUAAAGAUUGCAAUAAAUUUACUUUCUUCAAGCUCACUAGUAAAAAUAUUACUGUAGUUUCUUUUUUCCAGGUACACUGUGUAGAUAACCAAGCUCUUACUCUUUUUGUACUCUUAUGCAUAGGCGGUUCAACCCCCAGGCCUACUAGGCAGUUGCCUGUGGCUCCAUCUUGUUGGGGGCGCCAUCAAGGCAACUCCUGUCUCCUGCGGCCUGCCUCUGCAAGAACUAUGGAGUUGGAAGAGACCUCAUGGCCCAUCUAAUCCAAGACCCUGCCAUACAGAAAAACACAAUCAAAGUGCCGCUGACAUAUGGACAUCCAGCUUCUGUUUAAAAGUCUCCAAAGAAGGAGCUUCCACCAAACUCUGAGGAAGUGAGCUCCACUGUCAAACAGCUCUUAUGGUCAGGAAGUUCUUUCUAAUGGGUUUCUGUGAGGACCUCUAAACAAACCUCUGAGGAUGCUUGUUACAGAUGCAGGAAAAACAUCAGGAAAGAAUGCUACUAGAACAUGGUCCGAAAAAUUCACAUCAACGCAGUGAUUCCAGCCAUGGAAGUCUUUGACAACACAUUCUUCCUAAUUUUCAGUUGAAAUCUCCUUUCCUCUAAUUUGAACCCAUUUCUCUGAAUCCUAGUCUUCUGGGCAGUAGAAAAUAAGCCUGCUCCCUCUUCUUUAUGAUAUCCUUUCAAAUAUUUAAACAUAGUGAUCAUGUUUCCUCUCAAUCUUCUCUUCUGCAGGCUAAACAGACCCAGGUCUUUAAACCACUCCUCGUAGGGCAUAGUCUCCAGACCUUUGAUCAUUUUAGUUGCCCUCCUCUGGACAUGUUCCAGCUUUUCAAUAUUUCUCUUAAAUUGUAGUACUCAGAAUUGGACACAGUAUUCUAGCUGAGUUCUGACCAAAGCAGAAGAUACAGACAACUUUUGACCUCCUCCAGUAUGCUGGGAGAACAGGAGAAAACUUUUGUUCUCCAAGAGUUUUCUUAGGCCCCUUCUACACUGCUAUAUAAAAUCCAGAUUAUCUACUUUGAACUGGAUUAUAUGGCAGUGUAGAUUCAUAUAAUCCAGUUCAAAGUAGAUAAUGUUGAUUAUCUCCUUUGCUAAUUUGGAUUAUAUGGCAGUGUAGAAGAGGCCUAAGAUUAUUUCUGAAGUUACUUCUGCUAGUUCCUCCAUAGACUCGGGUUUAGUUCAUCUGGCUCUGGAGACUUGAAUUUGUUUAGAGUAGCCAAAUAUUCCUUGACUACUUCUUUACUUAUUUUGGGUUGCAUUUCCCCUGUUGCUUCACCUGCUCCAUAUUGCUCAAGUUGAACACUGAUUUCCUUUUGGGAGAAGGCUGAGUUCCUUCUUUCUUUUUUAUUGACAUUAGCAAAAAAACCUCAAAAAACCCUCUUUUUAUUAUUUUAAUCUCUCUGGCAAGCCUGAGCUCAUUUUUCCCUACAUAUGUUGAUUAUUUGUUAGAAUUCCCCCUUGGUGAUUUACCCCCUUUCCCAUUUCUUGUACAUGUUCCAAGUUUCUUUCUUGCUAGCAAUGUGGUGUCAUGUGUACAUCAUAGACUGCUGGUAUUCGUUCUCACAGUUUUGUGUUAAAUGUGGAUGCCCCCUCCAUCUGAGACUAAGUGAAAUAGACUUUAUCUCAAGGGUGGAUUCUCCAUCUUUGGAGGUUUUUAUUUAUUUAUUUAUUUAUUUACAGUAUUUAUAUUCCGCCCUUCUCACCCCGAAGGGGACUCAGGGCGGAUUACAAUGAACACAUAUAUGGCAAACAUUCAAUGCCAAUAGACAAACAACAUUCAGUUUUAGACAGACACAGAGGCAUUUUUUUUAACAUCUUCCAGCUUCACGAUUUCCGGCCACAGGGGGAGCUGUUGCUUCACCGUCCAUUGGUGGCUGUUCUUCCUCUUCUUUUCCUCGUGAGCAGUUUUAUGGUGUUGUAGAUUAGUUAAAUUAGCCUCCCGCAUAAAGCGUCCCUAAAUUUCCCUAAUUGACAGAUUCAACUGUCUUUCGGGGCUGCUAGGUCAACAGCAAGCCGGGGCUAUUUUUUUUUUUAUGGUCGGAGGCUUAACCCGACCUGGGCUUCGAACUCAUGACCUCUCGGUCAGUAGUGAUUUAUAGCAGCUGGUUACUAGCUAGCUGCGCCACAGCCACAGUUUUUAAACAGAGGUUGUAUCAGCAUCUUUCCAGAAUGCUUUAGUUGUCUAUUUUUACAUAGCAGGGGGUUGGAACAGAUGGCCUUGCAGCUCAUUCUAACUCUAAGAUUCUCUAAUGUCACUUGCAUGUGCUGAGUAUUUCUUUUUUAAUAUUCAUAUCUUUCAUGUCUCUCGCUGCAAGAUGCCAAGCAGUUCACAAUGUACACUUGGCUGAGGGAUGAGAAUUGACUAUGUAGAGUGAGACAGUUAGCUGGAGAAUAUGGCCCAGUACUGACUCUCAUAAUCUAUAACAACAAUAACAACAAUAACAACAACAACAACAACAACAACAACAACAACAACAACAACAACAACAACAUUGAUGAAAGUCAAUAGUAGAAAACUGCUUAAAGUGCAAAAGACAAAAAGUGAAUACCAUAAAAAUACAAUGCAGAGCAGAAGAGAAAACUUACAAAAGAAGGCUCUACAUAAACAGUUCCUGGAUAAAACUGAGAGCAAUAUUGGCAAGGAAAAAACAUGGGUAUGGCUCACAAAUGGAACUUUGAAAAGGGAGACAGAGGCACUGAUUCCUGCAGCCCAAGAACAAGCAAUUAGAACAAUGCCAUCAAAGCUAGUAUUGAAAAGACAACUACAGAUUCUAAGUGCAGACUCUGCAAGGAAGCAGACAAAAUGAUGAAUCGCAUCCUCAGCUGCUGCCAGAAGAUUGUGCAGAUGGACUACAAGCAGAGGCUUAAUACUAUUGUUCAGAUGAUCCACUGGAACUUGUCAAACUACUCUAGGACUUCCGAAUUCCGACUGACAGAGUUUUGGAGCACAAUACUCUUGACCUCUUGAUUGUGGAAAAAAAAGUAUGGAUCGUUGAUGUUGCAGUCCCAGGUGACAGCAGGAUUGACGAAAAGUAACUGGAAAAGCUGACAAGAUACAAGAAUUUGAAGAUUGAACUGCAAAGACUCUGGCACAAGCCAGUCAAGGUGGUCCCAGUAGUGAUCGGCACACUGGGUGCAGUGCCUAAAGACCUUGGCCAGCGCUUAAAAACAAUCAGAGCUGACAAAGUUACCAUGUGUCAGCUUCAAAAGACCACCCUACUCUGAUCUACACACAUUAUUUGCCGAUAUAUCACAUAGUCCUAGACACUUGGAAAAUGUCCGACACGUAUUCCAAUACAACAGGUAGAAUAGUGAUCUUGUUUGCUAUGUACUAAUUUUGUUGUGUAUCAAGUAGUAGUUGUAAUAAUAAUAAUAAUAAUAAUAAUAAUAACAACAACAACAACAACAACAACAACAACAACAACAACAACAAAAACCAUGGAAAGUUCCUUAACAAAAUUGAAGGAAAAGCUGAUAAGGAGAAGACCUGGCUAUGGCUCAUGAAUAGGACACUAAAGAAGGAGACAGAAGGCCUGAUCCUUGCAGCCCAGGAGCAAGCCAUCAGAACAAAUGCAAUUAAGACCAAGAUCGAAAAAUCAGCUGAUGACCCAAAAUGCAGACUGUGCAAGGAAACCGACAAAACCAUUGAUCAUAUCCUCAGCUGCUGUAAGAAAAUCGCACAGACAGACUACAAACAGAGGCACAAGUAUGUAGCCCAAAUGAUUCAUUGGAACUUAUGCCUCAAAUACCACCUCCCAGCAGUAAAGAACUGGUGGGAUCACAAACCUGCAAAAGUAUUGGAGAAUGAGCACACAAAGAUACUGUGGGACUUCCAAAUCCAGACUGACAAAGUUCUGGAACACAACACACCAGACAUCACAGUUGUGGAAAAGAAAAAGGUUUGGAUCAUUGAUGUUGCCAUCCCAGGUGACAGUAGCAUUGACGAAAAACAACAGGAAAAACUCAGCCGCUAUCAGGACCUCAAGAUUGAACUUCAAAGACUCUGGUAGAAACUAGUGCAGGUGGUGCCAGUGGUGAUGGGCACACUGGGUGCCUUGCCAAAAGAUCUCAGCCGGCAUUUGGAAACAAUAGACAUUGACAAAAUCACGAUCUGCCAACUGCAAAAGGCCACCCUACUGGGAUCUGCGCGCAUCAUCUGAAAAUACAUCACACAGUCCUAGACACUUGGGAAGUGUUCGACUUGUGAUUUUGUGAUAUGAAAUCCAGCAUGUCUAUCUUGUUUGCUGUGUCAUAAUAAAAUAAUAAUAAUAAAUGUU